AUGUUGAAUCACCGGUUCCCGUACGAUCAUCGAAGUUACGCAACAUUGAGCCUGGUCAGUAUCUAGAUGAGUGAAAGCUUGGGAUACCAAGUGCUGUAAG